UUACAACUUUCAACAACGGAUCUCUUGGUUCUGGCAUCGAUGAAGAACGCAGCGAAAUGCGAUAAGUAGUGUGAAUUGCAGAAUUCAGUGAAUCAUCGAAUCUUUGAACGCACAUUGCGCCCCUUGGUAUUCCAUGGGGCAUGCUUGUUCGAGCGUCAU
rnacentral:rRNA from 1 species